GGUUAAGCGACUAAGCGUACACGGUGGAUGCCCUGGCAGUCAGAGGCGAUGAAGGACGUGCUAAUCUGCGAUAAGCGUCGGUAAGGUGAUAUGAACCGUUAUAACCGGCGAUUUCCGAAUGGGGAAACCCAGUGUGUUUCGACACACUAUCAUUAACUGAAUCCAUAGGUUAAUGAGGCGAACCGGGGGAACUGAAACAUCUAAGUACCCCGAGGAAAAGAAAUCAACCGAGAUUCCCCCAGUAGCGGCGAGCGAACGGGGAGCAGCCCAGAGCCUGAAUCAGUGUGUGUGUUAGUGGAAGCGUCUGGAAAGGCGCGCGAUACAGGGUGACAGCCCCGUACACAAAAAUGCACAUACUGUGAGCUCGAUGAGUAGGGCGGGACACGUGGUAUCCUGUCUGAAUAUGGGGGGACCAUCCUCCAAGGCUAAAUACUCCUGACUGACCGAUAGUGAACCAGUACCGUGAGGGAAAGGCGAAAAGAACCCCGGCGAGGGGAGUGAAAAAGAACCUGAAACCGUGUACGUACAAGCAGUGGGAGCACGCUUCGGCGUGUGACUGCGUACCUUUUGUAUAAUGGGUCAGCGACUUAUAUUCUGUAGCAAGGUUAACCGAAUAGGGGAGCCGAAGGGAAACCGAGUCUUAACUGGGCGUUAAGUUGCAGGGUAUAGACCCGAAACCCGGUGAUCUAGCCAUGGGCAGGUUGAAGGUUGGGUAACACUAACUGGAGGACCGAACCGACUAAUGUUGAAAAAUUAGCGGAUGACUUGUGGCUGGGGGUGAAAGGCCAAUCAAACCGGGAGAUAGCUGGUUCUCCCCGAAAGCUAUUUAGGUAGCGCCUCGUGAAUUCAUCUCCGGGGGUAGAGCACUGUUUCGGCAAGGGGGUCAUCCCGACUUACCAACCCGAUGCAAACUGCGAAUACCGGAGAAUGUUAUCACGGGAGACACACGGCGGGUGCUAACGUCCGUCGUGAAGAGGGAAACAACCCAGACCGCCAGCUAAGGUCCCAAAGUCAUGGUUAAGUGGGAAACGAUGUGGGAAGGCCCAGACAGCCAGGAUGUUGGCUUAGAAGCAGCCAUCAUUUAAAGAAAGCGUAAUAGCUCACUGGUCGAGUCGGCCUGCGCGGAAGAUGUAACGGGGCUAAACCAUGCACCGAAGCUGCGGCAGCGACACUAUGUGUUGUUGGGUAGGGGAGCGUUCUGUAAGCCUGUGAAGGUGUGCUGUGAGGCAUGCUGGAGGUAUCAGAAGUGCGAAUGCUGACAUAAGUAACGAUAAAGCGGGUGAAAAGCCCGCUCGCCGGAAGACCAAGGGUUCCUGUCCAACGUUAAUCGGGGCAGGGUGAGUCGACCCCUAAGGCGAGGCCGAAAGGCGUAGUCGAUGGGAAACAGGUUAAUAUUCCUGUACUUGGUGUUACUGCGAAGGGGGGACGGAGAAGGCUAUGUUGGCCGGGCGACGGUUGUCCCGGUUUAAGCGUGUAGGCUGGUUUUCCAGGCAAAUCCGGAAAAUCAAGGCUGAGGCGUGAUGACGAGGCACUACGGUGCUGAAGCAACAAAUGCCCUGCUUCCAGGAAAAGCCUCUAAGCAUCAGGUAACAUUAAAUCGUACCCCAAACCGACACAGGUGGUCAGGUAGAGAAUACCAAGGCGCUUGAGAGAACUCGGGUGAAGGAACUAGGCAAAAUGGUGCCGUAACUUCGGGAGAAGGCACGCUGAUAUGUAGGUGAAGUCCCUCGCGGAUGGAGCUGAAAUCAGUCGAAGAUACCAGCUGGCUGCAACUGUUUAUUAAAAACACAGCACUGUGCAAACACGAAAGUGGACGUAUACGGUGUGACGCCUGCCCGGUGCCGGAAGGUUAAUUGAUGGGGUUAGCGGUAACGCGAAGCUCUUGAUCGAAGCCCCGGUAAACGGCGGCCGUAACUAUAACGGUCCUAAGGUAGCGAAAUUCCUUGUCGGGUAAGUUCCGACCUGCACGAAUGGCGUAAUGAUGGCCAGGCUGUCUCCACCCGAGACUCAGUGAAAUUGAACUCGCUGUGAAGAUGCAGUGUACCCGCGGCAAGACGGAAAGACCCCGUGAACCUUUACUAUAGCUUGACACUGAACAUUGAGCCUUGAUGUGUAGGAUAGGUGGGAGGCUUUGAAGUGUGGACGCCAGUCUGCAUGGAGCCGACCUUGAAAUACCACCCUUUAAUGUUUGAUGUUCUAACGUUGACCCGUAAUCCGGGUUGCGGACAGUGUCUGGUGGGUAGUUUGACUGGGGCGGUCUCCUCCUAAAGAGUAACGGAGGAGCACGAAGGUUGGCUAAUCCUGGUCGGACAUCAGGAGGUUAGUGCAAUGGCAUAAGCCAGCUUGACUGCGAGCGUGACGGCGCGAGCAGGUGCGAAAGCAGGUCAUAGUGAUCCGGUGGUUCUGAAUGGAAGGGCCAUCGCUCAACGGAUAAAAGGUACUCCGGGGAUAACAGGCUGAUACCGCCCAAGAGUUCAUAUCGACGGCGGUGUUUGGCACCUCGAUGUCGGCUCAUCACAUCCUGGGGCUGAAGUAGGUCCCAAGGGUAUGGCUGUUCGCCAUUUAAAGUGGUACGCGAGCUGGGUUUAGAACGUCGUGAGACAGUUCGGUCCCUAUCUGCCGUGGGCGCUGGAGAACUGAGGGGGGCUGCUCCUAGUACGAGAGGACCGGAGUGGACGCAUCACUGGUGUUCGGGUUGUCAUGCCAAUGGCACUGCCCGGUAGCUAAAUGCGGAAGAGAUAAGUGCUGAAAGCAUCUAAGCACGAAACUUGCCCCGAGAUGAGUUCUCCCUGACUCCUUGAGAGUCCUGAAGGAACGUUGAAGACGACGACGUUGAUAGGCCAGGUGUGUAAGCGCAGCGAUGCGUUGAGCUAACCGGUACUAAUGAACCGUGAGGCUUAACCUU
rnacentral:rRNA from 2 species